GUACUCCUCUCCUUUAUACUAUCUCCUAAAAAUCCUAAAUCUUCUCCUGUACUCCUCUUCUCCCUUCUGAUCUAACGUGCAGAGAGUGAAAGUAACGAUUUGUAGUGAGAGAAAUCCCAGAAAUCGAACUCCGGCGAAAAUCCGAAUCUCCGGCGAACCAGGUCUGAGUUAUGGUGAAAAUCCGAAUCUCCAGGAAGAUGGUGACGGUGGUGAUGACCUAAAGAGGAACGAUGACAGCGGUGAUGGCCUAAGAGGAGUUAUGAAGGUGACAUGUUGGAUCUUGGGCGCGUGUGUUGUUCCCAGAAGUAGACUUCAAGUAUUAGAUGUCAUCCACUUUUGUUGGUUUGUAACCUAGUCGAAGGUUGUGUUUUAAAACUUAAAUA
rnacentral:lncRNA from 1 species